UUGCAAGAAGCUUUCUGAACCUAAGUCCAGGGAACUGGAGAAAAAGCUGAGUGUCAGGGGUCCAGAUCUUCCUUGCUUUCGACAAUGCAAAAAAAAAAGCAUUGAUGACCUGCAAGCGAGGGCUGAAUACUCAGUCUGCUCGUGACCAGAAGACGUGGCAGCCAGCACGGCUUGGCAUUUGCAUUUGUUCCUGUGGCACUGCUGCCUUUGACAGAAAGCUGGCAAAUGAACGCCUGAGGUCGCUUUUCACUCGUCCAUUAGCAAGAGUGCCAAUUCACUUAUAGUGCAACUGUCAGAUAAAUGAGCUUGCUGCUGUCUCUGGAGAUACCGAGACCUGCUUGUAUUAAGUGGCAUUUGCUAGUGCCUCUGGAAAUGGUGGCGGUCCUUUACAAGUUUAAAUGCUAUUUAUCAAGACAGUGGCUGCUUGAAUACUUAGUCCGUUUUUGACUUACUGGGCUGUAAAGACUUCCUGGCUCAGGGGAAUAUCCAGCAGCCAGGAACAAAUCCAGAUACAGUUGUUUUUCUCUUGCUGUGGUGCUGUGGAAUAGGCAACAUGUCAGCCUCUGCCUCUAUCACAGAAUCAUUUCUCCAGGCAACUCUGUAACAAGACUGUCACCAAGGUGAAUGCUGAUUCAGUUGAAAAAUUGAAGAACAAAAUGAAAGAGAUGUGGUUCAGCAGAGUAUAAUACGUGAACCUCUACCAUGAAAAUAGGAAAGGUUGGAAAUGUUCAGUGCAAGCCCUGAAAACCAGAGCAAGCUUUUUGCUAAUUUACCAAUUCCAGGAGGUAUUUGGGGAGGGUGUCAGUAGGAGGGUCGAAGUUAUGUCCAAAGCAUGAGCUUUAAAAUAUGGGGAUUUAAAUACUGAGAUUUAGUGUGUCCAGCCAUAAUGUGUAUCUGCUGGAUUUAAAUACUUGAGUGUGCCCAUUCCCUUUAGUAAUUGCAGGCAGUUAUUUUUAAGAAGAAAAUACAAGGUAUUUCAUUAAUAUCUUAAGCAAAUCAUUGGUGUCAUUGUUGACUUGUAUACGUACACUUUUCUAGACGCCAGGCACUGCAUAAAGUUAUGAAUUGCACUUAUUGAAUAAUUGUGCACAUGUAUUUAAUUGCCCGCUGUUCUGCUGCUGUAAACACCCUCCUGUUGAGUGAGCAAAUGGAUUAUUUUCCUCUUCCUUGCAAGAAAGCUAUUAACUCUUUUUUUCCUUUUAGGUUUUAAUAGCCAAGGAUCAAAGGAGAGACCAGGCCAAAAUAGUUCCUACACUUGACUUAAUGAAACAGAAAUUAAAUAGCAAAAAUGACAGAAAAUUGGUCAAUUAUGACAAACGUGUAGUAGCACUCCUUUCACACGUCUCAAGUAGUUAAACUAACACUUAACAGAGCUGACUGAUGAAAAGUUUAUUAUUCCAGCUGUACUGUAUGCAAAACUUUCAGUUAAUGAUUUCAGAGAAAUGUAGAAAAUGCCAAGAUAUCCACAAAGUUCAGUCUUCCCUAAAAAGAAGUCCUACCUAUAAAUGUGAUUAUGUGUUCUCCAAGUCGAAAUAUAUGCUUUUCCUCAGACAGCUUUUUUCCAUAUACUGUGCUAAUCAAUCACACAAAACUCUAUGGACAUAACAUUGCAAUUAUAAUUGUUUAAUCAUUUGAAAUUGACAGCAGUAAUUGCCAUUAGUUUACCAUUAAAUGAUUAAUGAUCUUA